rnacentral:rRNA from 1 species
GACGAACGCUGGCGGCGUGCUUAACACAUGCAAGUCGAACGAAGUGGCGAACGGGUGAGUAAUGCGUAAUCAACCUGCCCUUCAGAGGGGGACAACAGUUGGAAAAGACUGCUAAUACCGCAAACGGAAGGUGGGGUUUGCGUCGGAUUAGAUAGCUGGAGCGGGAACGCCCCACCAAGGCGAUGAACAGUAACCGGUCUUAGAGAGUGAACGGCCAAAAUGGGAAUGAGAAACGACCACGAGUCAGAAGGGAGGCAGCAGUGGGGAAUGUUCGGCAAUGGAGGAAAGGCUGGCGGAGCAACGCCGCGUGAGUGAAGACGGCCUUCGGGUUGUAAAGCUCUGUUAAUCGGGGCGCGGUACCGGAAUAGAAAGCCACGGCUAACUACGUGCCAGCCGCCGCGGUAAUAC